rnacentral:rRNA from 1 species
CGGAUCAGAGGGGCUUGCUCUUCUGGUUAGUGGCGAACGGGUGAGUAAGCAUCGGAACGUACCCAGUUGUGGGGGAUAACGUAGCGAAAGUUACGCUAAUACCGCAUACGCACUGAGGUGGAAAGCGGGGGACCGAAAGGCCUCGCGCAAUUGGAGCGGCCGAUGUCGGAUUAGCUAGUUGGUGAGGUAAAGGCUCACCAAGGCGACGAUCCGUAGCUGGUCUGAGAGGACGACCAGCCACACUGGAACUGAGACACGGUCCAGACUCCUACGGGAGGCAGCAGUGGGGAAUUUUGGACAAUGGGCGAAAGCCUGAUCCAGCCAUGCCGCGUGAGUGAAGAAGGCCUUCGGGUUGUAAAGCUCUUUCAGACGGAAGAAAUCUUUCGGGUGAAUAUCCCGGAAGGAUGACGGUACCGUAAGAAGAAGCACCGGCUAACUACGUGCCAGCAGCCGCGGUAAUACGUAGGUGCGAGCGUUAAUCGGAAUUACUGGGCGUAAGCGUGCGCAGGCGGUGCAUAGACAGAUGUGAAUCCCGGGCUCACUGGACUGCGUUGUGACUGUGUAACUAGAGUAC